GUUUUUCAUAGAUUUGAUAUCCAGUAGUUGAAUGGUUAAAGAUAUUUACAAUGUAUUUUCUUUUAGCUGUAUGGCAACAACCUGUAUGUAUUUGCCAAAAAAUAUUGCAAAAAGAGGGCAAAGAUGGCACAUAUUUCGCAAAAAUUUGACUCAUAGUAGAAUUGCGAUCCCCUGGUGUGAUACCUUUUCUGAAACAGUUUACAACUUUACAUAUAUCUAUCAAGAGAGCAAGAGUGCAUUUCUUUCUAACCAAAGUUUGGUAAGCGUUGUGUGCCGUUUGUUAUAGUCGUUAAACGUUACAUAAGUAGAAACAAAUGAAUCGUUUGGUUAGGGGGGUUGAAAUUUUGAGACAUUUUAGACAAGUUUUUGAGUUAUGACAAGCAAGAACACGUUAAGAUAAUUGAUUUAAUGUUAAAGUUAAAAAGAAAUGCAUCGUUUGAACUAACAAACGCCGAACGCCAAACUGUAGACGCAUUUGCAGCGAGUAUAUAGUUUGUGAAAGUUUAUGCAAACUUGCAAAAGUAUGUUAGAAAC
rnacentral:lncRNA from 1 species